rnacentral:tRNA from 1 species
GCGGAGGUUACCGAGUUUGGCCAAAGGUGCAGGAUUCAGGGUCCUGUCUCGUAGGAGUUCGGGGGUUCAAAUCCCCUCCUCCGCA